ensembl:lncRNA
GUGAGUGACCACCCUGGUGGGAAAAAGAGGGAUCCCUGGAAGGGGUCAGGGCGGCGCCAGGGAACCGCUCUGGACCAGCUACGGGGAGCCGGGAGGGGGCGCUCUUACCCAGACGCGGCUCCGCGCGCUAGAGGUCUGCAGACUAGAUGCCAGGCGUGGCCCCCUGGCGGAGACCUCCAGCUCUGAUUUCGAAGAGUCGGACUUGGCUGCGUGUGGGACGGAAGCGAAGAGGAGGAGACGUGUCUCACGGCCCGGUCCUAAAACGGGCGGGUAAAGAGCUGUAUUUUGUGAGGUUCCGUCAGGAUCUAGAUGUACAUCAGCUCACUUUGGACAAGUCAUUUGCUGCGGUGCAAACAUCUCUAUUACCUUUCAGAUAUUUUCAUCUUAAAAAUAAAAGAACUUAAGAGGUGUAGCUUUUACCAUAUUUUCUGGCCUGUGUCUUCAAAUGUCUAACCAAAAUACAGUUUUAAAACUGAUAUGUGAUACUGCAUACUUAAAAAUAUUUGUAACAUAUAUGAAAGUUGUAAAGCCCUCUAAGCCCAAAGAUACCACUUCCGUCUAAAAGCCAGAAAUAAGAGGAUAGGACCUCUUUCUUCAUGUUCAACUUCUGAUUUGUACCAGCCGGAAUUCACAGACAAUGACAUAUGGAAAUGCUGCUCACUGGUACCGUUGACUGGAUUCUGAUUUUGAAAGAACUGCUUCUAAGUUUCCACCAUUGAGAAUUACUGUCAAGUUUUGAUAGUUCACCUUUAUCCAGUCAAAUUCCCUUCUAUUCCUAGUUUGCUAGCAGUUUUGAUCAUGAGUGGAGGUUAAAUGAUAAAAUUUUUUUGCAUCUACUCCAAGGACUAUUUUGCUCAAAAUUCUCCAAGCCAGGCUUCAACAGUACAUGAACCAUGAACUUCCAGAUGUUCAAGCUGGAUUUAGAAAAGGCAGAAGAACCAGAGAUCAAAUUGCCAACAUCCGUUGGAUCAUUGAAAAAACAAGAGUUCCAGAAAAACACCUACUUCUGCAUUAUUGACUACACCACAGCCUUUGACUGUGUGUAUCACAACAAACUGUGGAAAAUUCUCAAAGAGAUGGGAAUACGAGACCACCUUACCUGCCUCCUGAGAAAUCUGUAUGCAGGUCAAGAAGCAACAGUUAGAACCAGAUGUGGAACAACAGACUGGUUCCAAAUAGGGAAAGGAGUAUGUCAAGGCUUGUAUAUUGUCACCCUGCUUAUUUAACUUAUAUGCAGAGCACAUAAUGCAAAAUGCCAGGCACCAGUUGGACUCAAGAUUGCUGGGAGAAAUAUCAAUAACUUCAGAUAUGCAGAUGACACCACCCUUAUGGCAGAAAGUGAAGAAGAACUAAAGAGCCUCUUGAUGAAAGUGAGAGACUGAAAAAGCUGGCUUACAACUCAACAUUCAGAAAACGAAGAUUAUGGCAUCCGGUCCCAUCACUUCAUGGCAAAUAGAUGGGAAAACAGUGACAGACUUUAUUUUGGGGGGCUCCAAAUCACUGCAGAUGGUCACUGCAGCCAUGAAAUUAAAAGACGCUUUCUCCUUGGAAGAAAAGCUAUGACCAACCUAGACAGCAUACUGAAAAACAGGGACAUUACCUUGCCAACAAAGGUCUAGUCAAAGCUAUGGUUUUUCCAGUAGUCAGGUAUGGAUGUGAAAGUUGGACUAUAAAGAAAGCUGAGCGGCAAAGAAUUGAUGCUUUUGAACUGUGGUGUUGGAAAAGACUCUUGAGAGUCCCUUGGAUUACAAGGAGAUCCAACCAGUCCAUCCUAAAGGAAAUCAGUCCUGAAUAUUCAUUGGAAGGACUGAUGCUGAAGCUGAAACUCCAAUAUUUUGGCCACCUGAUGUGAAGAACCGACUCAAUGGAAAAGACCCUGAUGAUGGGAAAGAUUGAAGGUGGAAGGAGAAGGGACGACAAAGGAUGAGAUGGUUGGAUGGCAUCACCAACUCGAUGGACAUGAGUUUGAGCAAGCUCCAGGAGUUGGUGAUGGACAGGGAAGCCUGGCGUGCUGCAGUCCAUUGGGUUGCAAAGAGUCAGACAUGACUGAGUCACUGAACUAAACUGACAAGGACUGUUUAUUCUGCUUUAUUCUGUUUAUGUGGUGAAUUAAAUUUUUAGGUGUCUUUUAAUGUUAAACCACUACCGGAAAGAAGCACAUCCUGUUUUUCUUGUUUGUUUGGCUGGACUGCAUUGCUUUCAGGAUCUCCUGACCAGGGAUUGAACCCAGGCCACAGCAGUGAAAGCCCAGAAUCCUAACCACUAGUCCACCAGCCACCAGUGAACUACCCUAGCUCCCUCUUAACUUACAUAUAAUUCAUACAUUUUACAUACAAAUAAAUGCACAAGUAUUGAGGGUUCAAUAAAUUUUUACAUAUUUGUCUGUUUGUGUGUGUACCCAGAUAACUACCACCCAGAUAGAACUUUCCCAUUGUCCCAGAAAGUUCCAUCAUGCCCUUUCCCAAUCAGUAUCUCCCUCAAAAGGUAAUCACGAUUCUGAUUUCUAUCAGCAUAGAUUGUUGAAACCUGUGCAGAAUCUAUGCAGCCUAUUGUUGAAACUG